AGGAGCAGAGGGUGACCAACUGAGCCCUGGCCCUGUGACUGGGGACAGCUGCAGCGGGGGAGGGGUCAGGAGACUCUAGAGUGGAGAGGCAGAGUGAACAGGGAAUGGCCUUGGCCAAAAUGUCCCCUGCCUCCCCUUUCCCCGGGUGGCCACACCCUUCCCACUCCCACUUCUCAGAAAACGGCAAAGCAGCAGAAUACUGGACCUUGCAAGGCAGAUGUAGCCACUGAGGACCAGAGAAAACACCUGUCCAAGGCAGCACAGCUGGAACCAGAAGCAAGUCCCCAAUUGUCUACUCUUCCUGUGCCCAUCUGCUUCUGCUCAAUCCCCUAGACCUUGGAACAGAGGGUCCCGCACUCACGCAGGCCAUGAUUGAAGCGAAGAGAUUCCUGAGACCUGCUCCACCAGCAGCCAGAAGACUCCACCCGAGAGACGGGCCCCAGGCCCGCUCCAACCUUUUUAACUGGAUCAGACCCGAAACCAGCUCAGAAGGCCUAUUGAACUUCACGCACAGGCUCCUCACAACAGCGGCCUCUCUUCCGACAGCAAUUUUCUCUACUGAUUCCAGUUGCUGUGACUACUUGACAGGGCCCUGCACUUCACAUUGAAGGAUGAAGACUGCUGUAGGUCACCGCCCUGUGGAAUGCUGUGUCCUGUGAUGUGUGUGAAAUGUAUCCUACGCGGCAGAGAAGUAAAUGGAUUGCGCCUAUUCUGAUAAAUUGCCUCGAUAGAGGUGCGGGAGAGGGAGGGAGUCGGGGAUGAAUCACCCUUUUUCAGAAAUUGCAGCCUGAGAGAUUUUUAAGGAGUGCAUAAUGGCACGUUAUCUAAAACUUGAGGGAGAUGGCGAGACGGCCUGAGGUUAGGAAGCUCAUGCGAGUCCUCCAUCCUACGCUCUCCAGAGGGCUGCAGCAUUCUGGGCAAAUGUCUAUCUACAGUUCAAAGGAAAUAUAAGCUGUCAGUUCUGGUCUGAGUCA